rnacentral:misc_RNA from 1 species
GAUGAAGAACGUAGCGAAAUGCGAUAAUUAAUGUGAAUUGCAGAAUUUAGUGAAUCAUCGAAUCUUUGAACGCACAUUGCGCCCCUUGGUAUUCCGGGGGGCAUGCCUGUUCGAGCGUCAUUUCAACCCUCAAGCACAGCUUGGUGUUGGGACUCGCGUUAAUUCGCGUUCCUCAAAUUGAUUGGCGGUCACGUCGAGCUUCCAUAGCGUAGUAGUAAAACCCUCGUUACUGGUAAUCGUCGCGGCCACGCCGUUAAACCCCAACUUCUGAAUGUUGACCUCGGAUCAGGUAGGAAUACCCGCUGAACUUAAGCAUAUCAAUAAGCGGAGGA